GGUGGGUGAACCAGGCGGUUAGGUACCGGUCUGCAAAACCGUUUAGAUGAGUUCGACUCUCAUACCCACCU
rnacentral:tRNA from 1 species